rnacentral:lncRNA from 1 species
GCGGAGUUCCAACUUCUCUGCGAACAUCUAGAUACUAGAUCCAAGGGCAAAAAAGUUGCAGGAGAUGUCCCAUUAGCACCUAGUUCCAAAAACAUCUCGACGGUAAAGUCGAAUAUGCCAAUAGUAGAAUCUUCUGAUUAAGCUAAACGCCAAGCAAAGGGAAAAUUCCCUAACAAAGUGGCAGGAGGUGUGCUACUAGAACUUAGUGCCAAAAAAAUAUCUAAG